CGAAGAGUAGGGCGGGACACGUGGUUUCCUGUCUGAAUAUGGGGGGACCAUCCUCCAAGGCUAAAUACUCCUGACUGUCCGAUAGUAAACCAGUACCGUCAGGGAAAGGCGAAAAGAACCCCGGCGAGGGGAGUGAAAAAGAACCUGAAACCGUGGACGUACAAGCAGUGGGAGCACCUUCGGGUGUGACUGCGUACCGUUUGUAUAAUGGGUCUGCGACUUAUAUUCUGUAGCAAGGUUAUCCGCAUAGGGGAGCCGCGGGUAAACCGAGUCUUAACUGGGCGCUAAUUUGCAGGGUAUAGACCCGAAACCGGGUGAUCUAGCCAUGGGCAGGUGGGAGGUUGGGUAACACUAACUGGAGGACCGAACCGAGUAGUGUUGAAAAAUUAGCGGAUGACUUGUGGCCGGGGGGGUAAGUCCAAUCAAACCGUGAGAUAGCUG
rnacentral:rRNA from 1 species